rnacentral:rRNA from 1 species
GAUGAACGCUGGUGGCGUGCCUAAUGCAUGCAAGUCGAGCGAACAGACGAGGAGCUUGCUCCUCUGACGUUAGCGGCGGACGGGUGAGUAACACGUGGAUAACCUACCUAUAAGACUGGGAUAACUUCGGGAAACCGGAGCUAAUACCGGAUAAUAUAUUGAACCGCAUGGUUCAAUAGUGAAAGACGGUUUUGCUGUCACUUAUAGAUGGAUCCGCGCCGCAUUAGCUAGUUGGUAAGGUAACGGCUUGCCAAGGCAACGAUGCGUAGCCGACCUGAGAGGGUGAUCGGCCACACUGGAACUGAGACACGGUCCAGACUCCUACGGGAGGCAGCAGUAGGGAAUCUUCCGCAAUGGGCGAAAGCCUGACGGAGCAACGCCGCGUGAGUGAUGAAGGUCUUCGGAUCGUAAAACUCUGUUAUUAGGGAAGAACAAAUGUGUAAGUAACUAUGCACGUCUUGACGGUACCUAAUCAGAAAGCCACGGCUAACUACGUG